rnacentral:rRNA from 1 species
UACGGAGGAUGCAAGCGUUAUCCGGAAUUAUUGGGCGUAAAGCGUCCGCAGGUGGUUUAUCAAGUCUGCUGUCAAAGCGCGAGGCUUAACUUCGUAAAGGCAGUGGAAACUGAUAGACUGGAGUGCGGUAGGGGCAGAGGGAAUUCCCAGUGUAGCGGUGAAAUGCGUAGAGAUCCGGAAGAACACCGGUGGCGAAGGCGGCCUGCUGGGACAGUGCUGACGCUGAGGCGCGACAGCGUGGGGAGCAAACAGG